ensembl:lncRNA
GUCACAAAGAGCUGGACAUGACUGAGCAACUAACAUGGUAACACUUAUAUGCGAAACCUUAAAGAAAAAUUCAGACUCACAAAAGUAGAGAGUAGAAAAGAGGUUGCCAGGAGCUGGGGAAUAGAAGAAACAGGCAGAAGUUGGUAAAAGGGUACACUUUUCACCUUCAAGAUUCUGAGGCUCUGAUGUGUAACUUGGUGACAACAGUCAAUAACACUGUGUUGUGUAAACAAAAAGGAAGAUAAGAAUCUUUCUUCCUCAGGCCAGAGAGUUGCAGUUUCUCCCAAGGAUCAACUCAUCAACAACUGUUUAUUGAGCUGCUCCUCUCUGGCACAUAGUAGCGGGGAGAAUUUGGACUAAGCAAGCUUCCCUAGGUCUCAAUGGCAGUGUCUUUGGUGAUGGCCUUAGGUGAUGGCACCGAGGACCCCGUCCUAUAGGGACAUGGUAUUUUUGAAUUGUAAAACAGAG